GGCCAGGAUAUUCUAGUGUUUAGGCUGUUCGACUCCAAACUGAAAGGUUCUGGGUUUGAACCCUAGUCUGGUUCGAACCCA